rnacentral:tRNA from 1 species
GCGGGAUGGAGCAGUCUGGUAGCUCGUCGGGCUCAUAACCCGAAGGUCGUUGGUUCAAAUCCAGCUCCCG